GAAAAAGAGUAUAGGUGAAAAAGAACACCACUCGAUCUUUAUUCCCUCCCACCGUUACUCUCACAUGCGCAAACUCACAAAAUCCCAGAGAGAGAGAGAGAGAGAGACAGACAGACAGAGACUUGAUUUAUAUAACAUUGGGUAUCUGUUUCUCCCAUGUGCUAACCAAGAGGGUAAAACACUUAUGCACACUUGUUUCAGAUGGCAUGAGUAGUUGUAGCGGGACACCAUUCGUCAAACUUUUAUGACCCCCUCCCCCACCCGUUGACAGGUCGUGUUUUAUGACCCCUUUGACAGGGGGGCGGGACCAUCAAUCAAAAUCUGUACAAGUUGUCAACUUUAGACAGAAAGUAUUUAAUGGUUUUAUUGCCGGUCAUUUAGAGUGAUUGUUUUUCCUGAGUGUGUUUUAUGUCAAGCGUAUGGUGUCAUGUUUAAUGACGGCUCGUGUUUCGACAUUUACUGUUUAUUGACAUUUGAUGUCAGAUCUCAACCAUCCUCCCACCUUUGCUCGCCCCGUGCGCUUCUCAAUACUGACUUUCACACCGCGGGUGUGUUGUUGAAUCUAAAGUUUUGCAACAUUAAAAGUUUAUUUAAAGGCAAUCACUAAUCAUAUAUAUAUAUAUAUAUAUAUAUUAGAUGUACCUGGCUACGCUUAAAGCCGAUGUUUUCUAUCGAGCUAUAGUUUCUGAUCAGACACAAAGUCUGAACUAAAUAAAAUUUUAAACGGUUCACGAAGUCCGGGAAUCUUUUCAUGACCUGGUCUACAGUUUCACGCGUAUUAAAGAUCCGGCGGUGUCUGACAAAGCGUCGGGUGAUUGUUCAUAUCUGUCAUUUAAAAUAAAGUUAAUAAAUGUAAUUCUGUCCACUAUGGCAAAAUAGGAAUUUAUUUUAGAUUUAGGGGAAUCUUUAACCAUGUCUCUGAUUAAAACUUUUGAUUGUAACAUCACAAGUUAUUUAAUUAAAUAUUCUGUAUACGGGUAUAGUUUAAGCAAUGACCUGAGCCAUUACCUUCGGAGCCGUCAAUACUACAUUCUUUAGACGAUAGUCUAAACUAAAUAAAUUUUUAAACGGUUCAGGAAUUCCGUGAAUCUUUUCAUAACCUGCACUAUAGUUUCACGCGUAUUAAAGAUCCGGCGGUGCCUGACAAAGCGCCGGGUGAGUGUUCAUAUCUGCCAUUUUAAAAUAAUGUUAAUAAAUGUAAUUCUGUCCACUAUGGCAAAAUAGGAUUUUAUUUUAGAUUUAGUGGAAUCUUUAACCAAGUCUCUGAUUAAGACAUGUGUAUACGUGCACAGAUGGUGACAGAGAAACUUAUAUAUGACGUUAAUAAUCUUUUAAAUGUUUUUAAGACGUAUUCACCCCAUUUUGGGGUUUUAUUUUUAAUUAAAGGCUUCUUAAAACAUGUGUGAAUAUGUGUAUAUUAUACAAAGAGUCUUAUAUUGUCUGCUCUGACAAAAAUAAAGUAUUUUUUAGGUUUAGGGGAAUUGACUGCGUGUGUCUUAUAAAUACAACUUGAUAAUACGUUUGUUUUGUAAAGAGACUUCUUUAAAGUCACGCAAGAAUAAAAUAUUUUAGUUGUAACUGGUUAAACUUAAAGCCGAUAUUUUCUAUCGAACUAGUCUAUUUUCUGUUCAGACACAAAGUUUUCUGAUGCUGAUAUUAUGUCAGUGUGUGUUUGUGUGGGGGUCGUGUGAUGUAAUCUUUGAAAGUUUAUGACCGAACCUUUAUUGGGGAGCGACAAGAGAUCUCCCGGAAUCAGUUUGGAUGGAGCAGAGCUGUUAUACUCAAGUCUAUUGGUAUGUAUGUGUUUCGCUGUGUUCGUUCCAGUAUUUUGUAUGAUUUAUUUAAAAACUAAAAAUUCGAUCUCUGGUAUUGCAGCGAAAUUGUCUAAACUGGUAUUAACUAUUCCUGGUAAAUCGCGGAGAAGAGUGGCCUGAACAAAAAAGUCAGACCGAGACUAGAACCUCCCGCAGCGUAACACGGAAAUCUUGGAACAAAAGAGACGCCGACUGGCUCGUGUUGUCCGGUUUGGAUAUCAGAGGCAAAGCGAACGUUGUGUGUACUAUUGCAAAAUAUAUAGCGGAUCUCCACGGUUUGGAUAUCAGAGGCAAAGCGAACGUUGUGUGUACUAUUGCAAAAUAUAUAGCGGAUCUCCACGGUUAGGAUACAGACCACAACGCUUUGGACGUAUCUUUAAAAAAGAUUAAAAUCAGAGACUUUUUGGAUUUGUCUGGGGACAUUUUAAACAUUUUGUGGCAAAUUGGAUUUAAAACAUUUCGGAUACUGGAUACCUAGUUUGAUUUGUCCACAGAGCUUGUUUAAGACGUUUUCACCGCAUUUUAGGGUUUAUUUUUAAUUAAAGGCUUCUUAAAACAUGUGUGAAAAUGUGUAUAUUAUACAAUGAGUCUUAUAUUGUCUGCUCUGACAUAAAUAAAUUUUUAUAUUAGAUUUUA